AUUUUGUGUUUUAGUUUUAUUAUUUUUUUGGAGUAUUUGUAGCAUUAAUAGGGUUUAUUUUUAUAUCUAUUGCUAGCUGCAUCAUUGUAGAUAUAUUAGUAUUAUGACUUAUUCCUUUGUAAGCAGUAUUUUCAGGUUUAGAAGGGUUAAGGGUUAAGUGAAGGGUUUGCUUGGUGUAUUAAUGCUACGAAUGUUUAUAAUCAGAAUUUACGCUAAAUUUAGUUAUUUUUAUCAGUGGAUAUAAUAAAUUAGAUCUUAUCUUCAAAACCACUUUCCAACGGAGCCUUAUAAUAAUAUUUAGCGUUAUUAAAUAUUUCUAAGUUGAUGAUGUUUGGAUAAAUUAAGUUAAAUAUUCUUCGCAAAAUUCUCUGUAAUAGAUUUUGGGUAAUUAGAACUUUUGUGUAUGUAAAGAUUUUGAUUUUGUGCGUGGAAGCUCACACACACAUACACACAUGAGAGAGAAAGAAUUCUAGUUAUACUACAUAGUGAGUAGAUUUUGUAAUUACUCUGGAAAAUUUAUAUGAUGCAAAAUGUAAAGAAGCUUUUUGUUGAAAGUCAGAUAAUUACUAAUUAAUACCUACUUUAGUAAAAAAAACAAAAAAAAAAAACAAAGCACAACAACUUUACUAACAGAAUUCCAAAGCGAAAAUUUUCUAUAUUAAGGAGUCAGUCAGUCAUAGAACUUAGUGCAAACAGAGUUUAAUGAAACAUAUUCUCUUAGAAACAAAACGUGUUAUUGCUAUCAACUAUACUUGAUACGAUGGUUAUCCAGGGAGUAAUGUAAAAGUGAGCAUAACUUAUUUUAGUAACUGAUACAGGUCGUUCAAUGGAAAGAUAUGAUACUUGAGCAGUACAUUCUGACGAAAUGCUAAGCGAUGUCAAAUUAAAAAUUUUUUCCACACAUCGACGUGAUCUGAUUCGCGAUAGGUCACUGAGUCCAUAAGACAAACCAGAUCCACCUUCAAUAAAAAUAUCAAGUGUGAUCAAAAUGUCUCAGCACAUCUCUGCAGACAUGUACUGGUAAAACAAAACAGCAACAGCAACAAUAACAAUAAUAAUGGGAAGAGGAAGAAGAGGAAGGAAAAGAAGUCAACGUGCGACAGGUAUUUCACACGCGCGUGUGUGUGAGACGUUAAGAAGAGGUUGUACAGAAUGAGGUAUGCAAAGAUAUUCUCAAAUUGUUGAAACUAGUUUCAUAACCGUAGCUUAGCACAUUACUAUUUUGUCCAUUUUCAAUGCUUCAUUUUCUCUCAUUUUCAAUUUGAAUACAAAGCCUUUCAAAGAAAUGGAAGAUUUCUAUUUUCCUUUUCAGAGAAAUAGGUUUUAUAUUAGAUAUACUUUAGUUGCUUAAAUUAUUGGAAUGUAGGUUAUCUUUCAGUGAAUGCUUAAUAAACGAUCUAUUUUUAAAAUAUUGUAUUUCAUAUUCUCCUAACUCAGUAUAUACAUUCCACAAAAUGUAUAUUUACGUAGAUAACUUCUCCAUAAACAAGAAAAUUCUGUUUCAUGAUUACGAUGUCUUUCUGAUUGGUUUGUGGGAAACCUGUCUGCUAUGAGUUUCUAACAGUUUGAGGAACAACCCUCGCAUUUGUGACUGUGUAUAUUUGUAAUAUUUCUGGCAGAUGAUGCAUUACAAAGGAAAUAAUAAUUUUGUCCAUAAUAUUAACAUAAUGUUUCAGUGAACUAGCUUAGCCGAAACAUCCUGAAACAUAAAAAAGUGGUAAAUGAUAAUUUUCAAUGAAUUAUUUUUAGUAAAAAUAAAGACUGUUUCAUGAUUUCAUUAUCUUUUUAAAUUCCAGAAUUGUUGUAUAUCAACAAAUAUUUAAGUGGAAAAUAAUAUGUUUACCUUACAAACAUCAGAAUUAAUUCUUUUUCCAAAUGAAGGUUUUUGUAAAAUAACUUAUUCACCUUAAAAAUAAGUAGUCUCAAGUGUUAAUUGAAAUUGGUUUACAGUAAAAUUAACUGUUUUGCUGGCUAAAGGUUUUAACAAAUCUAUUUUUAAAGUCUCUUUUUCUCUACGUCAUUUGUCCUUUGAUCACACAGUCUAUUGUAAUUGAGAAUGAAAUAUUCAUCAGUCUUUUCUUCACAACCAUCAGAGUGCAAAGCGCUCCCCCAUGACCGCAGGUUCGUGAGAUGGUUGUGAUAUGUAAACAAUUCUGAGUAGGAACCGAAAAGAGAGGUAUGAAAGCGCAAUGUGCAUGUGCACAAUGAAUUUGUAAAACGGAAGAGAAGAAUACUAACGAAAUGUGCAUGUUAAAAUAAAACGGAAGAGAAGAAUAAAAACGCAAUGUCAAACAAGUUAUAUGAUGGCCUUCAUGUUACGUCAGACACCACUAUCUCGCAGCUUUGCUGCAAUUUUCUCGUUCGUUUCUCCAAAUAAAUUAUCUGAAAAUAGCGAUAGAUGGGCAGAGGAACAUGCCUCGUAUUAUAAUAUAAAUAUUAUGAUAUAACUUUCCCUCUAAGUCAGAGAAAUUAAAUAAAAACCUAGCAGCAGUUGUUAGUAACUCCGAACAAGGGGAGAUAAUUUUAAUAAAUUGGGAUUAAAUUAUUGGAUUAACAUACUUGGAGAAAAAGAUAAUUUCAUCUGUUUAGAGGUAAGAUUCAAUGUUUUAGGUCUCAAUUUAAACUCAUCGGCUAUAAAUAAUAUGCUGAACACAUUAAGCUCUCUGUCAUUUAUGAACAUGUUCAAAAUUGAUCUGGAGGUAAGCUAGGACUAUUCUGCGAAGAUGAGGACAAAAUUAGACUGAAACAGUAUAUCAGUAAUUGUUCCUUUUCUUCAAGCAAAGGCCAGACUGUUGUUUUCCUAACCAAAUUAAUCCAAUGAAGAAAUUAUUCAUAAAUUUCAUAAAACUGCCUCUUCUUUGUUUUUCAGAGAUACCAGCAAUUGUGACUAGCUUUAAGUUUUCCUUCUCUGACUCAGAACGAAAUUUUUAAUCACAAAUUUUUUGUGUACGAAUGAAACGAUAAAGUGACUCGUUAUGGUUGCAUUUUAAAGUAAGCUUCAGGGAAUUACGAAAAUAAUGUAAAUGAUAAAAUUGCCAUAGAUGUAUUUUAAAAUUGUUUAACCGUUAAAUCUUGAUUACUUUUAUAAUAUGCUUCAGGCGAUAAAGAUCAUAUCAGUUAUAACACUCUUCUUCACGAUCGCUAGUUGUCUCUAUAAAGUGCAGCAAGAACGCUCAACCAUCAUCAUUUCAAGCAGAAAUACGACAGACUAGGUCUUAGAAUGUCGAAGGACUUAGAAAUGGUAUUAUGUUUGACUGAGCACGAAAACUAUGAACAUACAAAACAUCUUGAACAUAUUAAACUCGAACACAUUCAAUAUAACAUGUUUGAAAGAAUGGAUCUCUCUACUCCACUCCCUCUCUUUCUUUCUCUCUUUCUCUCUCUGUACACAAACACACACAUACGCACACAAACAUGUUUGUAUGUGUAUGUUUGUAUGUAUGUGUGUCGUGUGUGUUUGUGUGUGUGCUUACAUAUAUGUGUGUAAGAGGGAGUAUAGUUGAUAAGUACGUGCUUGAAAAAAGUUUUGAAAUAAAUUUUAAAUGAAAUUCUUUCGUUUCCAAGUGCGUUACUCCAGGCAUACUUCAAGUGAUAAGAAAUACGUUAGCUUUAGGCGCAGCAGUAAUAUUACAAGGUGUUUAUGUUAUGGCCACCUGGUGGGGAUAAGAACACCUAUUUAUCUCGUGUAUAGCGCUAUCAGUUCGAAGGACUCCAACUAUUCUUAGGCAUAGCAUAAGCUGAAAAACUAAACUAUUUUGAUAAUUCUUAAACCAUCUUUUCAGAAUAAAUAUCCUUUCAGAAAUAUAUAUAUAUCACGCAAAGAAAUUAAUUGCUUUAUAUUUUCGUCUAUAAGCGUUUUCCUGCAUGUCAUGUUGAACAUGGGAUUUUGAAAAUAUUUUAGGCGUAGGAGUGGCUGUGUGGUAAGUAGCUUGCUUACCAACC
rnacentral:lncRNA from 1 species